AUACGGAGGGGGCUAGCGUUAAUCGGAAUUACUGGGCGUAAAGCGCGCGUAGGCGGCUUGUUAAGUCGAAUGUGAAAGCCCCGGGCUCAACCUGGGAAUUGCAUCCGAUACUGGCAAGCUAGAGUAUGAUAGAGGGCAGUGGAAUUCCAGGUGUAGCGGUGAAAUGCGUAGAUAUCUGGAGGAACAUCAGUGGCGAAGGCGACUGCCUGGAUCAAUACUGACGCUGAGGUGCGAAAGCGUGGGGAGCAAACAGGAUUAGAAACCCCAGUAGUCC
rnacentral:rRNA from 1 species